rfam:Dolosigranulum pigrum ATCC 51524 genomic scaffold supercont1.1, whole genome shotgun sequence.
AGGUAUCUGAGGUGUUCGAGUUGUCUAUUUAACGAGUUGACCGAACAUUUAUACAUUGGGAUUCGAAAGCUCAUGUUCAUGACAAGCCUUUUCACUUGGACGUCAGAUGCGUGAGUGGAGAAGCCCACCUGCAAAUAGCGGGUACAACCUUUCAGACAACGGAUCGGCACCAGUGGAUACCUC